UUUCUAGUAUUAUAAUAAAAUAAGCUGGUUUUAGGAAUCAUCAAUACAAGUCCUUGUCUAGGAAG
rnacentral:tRNA from 1 species